UACGGAGGGAGCUAGCGUUGUUCGGAUAUACUGGGCGUAAAGCGCACGUAGGCGGCGCCGUAAGUCAGGGGUGAAAUCCCGGAGCUCAACUCCGGAACUGCCCUUGAAACUGCAGUGCUAGAAUUCUGGAGAGGCGAGUGGAAUUCCGAGUGUAGAGGUGAAAUUCGUAGAUAUUCGGAAGAACACCAGUGGCGAAGGCGACUCGCUGGACAGACAUUGACGCUGAGGUGCGAAAGCGUGGGGAGCGAACAGG
rnacentral:rRNA from 1 species